rnacentral:sRNA from 1 species
AAUCACUUCCGUAGGGUGAACCUGCGGAGGGAUCAUUACCGAGUUUACAACUCCCAAACCCAAUGUGAACGUUACCAAACUGUUGCCUCGGCGGGGUCACGCCCCGGGUGCGUAAAAGCCCCGGAACCAGGCGCCCGCCGGAGGAACCAACCAAACUCUUUCUGUAGUCCCCUCGCGGACGUAUUUCUUACAGCUCUGAGCAAAAAUUCAAAAUGAAUCAAAACUUUCAACAACGGAUCUCUUGGUUCUGGCAUCGAUGAAGAACGCAGCGAAAUGCGAUAAGUAAUGUGAAUUGCAGAAUUCAGUGAAUCAUCGAAUCUUUGAACGCACAUUGCGCCCGCCAGUAUUCUGGCGGGCAUGCCUGUCCGAGCGUCAUUUCAACCCUCGAACCCCUCCGGGGGGUCGGCGUUGGGGAUCGGGACCCCUCACCGGGUGCCGGCCCUGAAAUACAGUGGCGGUCUCGCCGCAGCCUCUCCUGCGCAGUAGUUUGCACAACUCGCACCGGGAGCGCGGCGCGUCCACGUCCGUAAAACACCCAACUUCUGAAAUGUGACCUCGG